rnacentral:rRNA from 1 species
UCAAGUAAUUAAGUGCAUGUGGUGGAUGCCUUGGCAGUCAGAGGCGAUGAAAGACGUGAUAGCCUGCGAAAAGCUCCGGGGAGGCGGCAAAUAUCCUUUGAUCCGGAGAUGUCUGAAUGGGGGAACCCACCUACUUUAAGGUAGGUAUUGCAACAUGAAUACAUAGUGUUGCAAGGCGAACGAGGGGAAGUGAAACAUCUCAGUACCCUUAGGAAAAGAAAUCAAUUGAGAUUCCCUCAGUAGCGGCGAGCGAACGGGGAUCAGCCCAUUAAGUUAUGUGUGUUUUAGUGGAACGCUCUGGGAAGUGCGAACGUAGAGGGUGAUAUUCCCGUACACGAAAGGGCACACAUAAUGAUGACGAGUAGGGCGAGGCACGUGAAACCUUGUCUGAAUAUGGGGGGACCAUCCUCCAAGGCUAAAUACUCCUGACUGACCGAUAGUGAACCAGUACCGUGAGGGAAAGGCGAAAAGAACCCCUGUGAGGGGAGUGAAAUAGAUCCUGAAACCGCAUGCAUACAAGCAGUGGGAGCACCUUCGUGGUGUGACUGCGUACCUUUUGUAUAAUGGGUCAGCGACUUAUAUUCAGUAGCGAGGUUAACCGUAUAGGGGAGCCGUAGAGAAAUCGAGUCUUAAUAGGGCGUUUAGUUGCUGGGUAUAGACCCGAAACCAGGCGAUCUAUCCAUGAGCAGGUUGAAGGUUGGGUAACACUAACUGGAGGACCGAACCCACUGUCGUUGAAAAGCCAGGGGAUGACUUGUGGAUAGGGGUGAAAGGCUAAUCAAGCCUGGUGAUAGCUGGUUCUCCCCGAAAGCUAUUUAGGUAGCGCCUCGGACGAAUACCAUAGGGGGUAGAGCACUGUUUCGGCUAGGGGGUCAUCCCGACUUACCAAACCGAUGCAAACUCCGAAUACCUAUGAGUACUAUCCGGGAGACAGACUGCGGGUGCUAACGUCCGUAGUCAAGAGGAAAACAAUCCAGACCGCCAGCUAAGGCCCCAAAAUCAUAGUUAAGUGGGAAACGAUGUGGGAAGGCAUAGACAGCUAGGAGGUUGGCUUAGAAGCAGCCACCCUUUAAAGAAAGCGUAAUAGCUCACUAGUCGAGUCGGCCUGCGCGGAAGAUGUAACGGGGCUAAAACUAUGUGCCGAAGCUGCGGAUGUAUACUUUGUAUACGUGGUAGGGGAGCGUUCUGUAAGCCGAUGAAGGUGUGUUGAGAAGCAUGCUGGAGGUAUCAGAAGUGCGAAUGCUGACGUGAGUAACGACAAAACGGGUGAAAAACCCGUUCGCCGAAAGACCAAGGGUUCCAGUCCAACGUUAAUCGGGGCUGGGUGAGUCGACCCCUAAGGCGAGGCCGAAAGGCGUAGUCGAUGGGAAAAUGGUUAAUAUUCCAUUACUUCUGUGUAAUGCGAUGAGAGGACGGAGAAGGCUAAAUCAGCCUGGCGUUGGUUGUCCAGGUGAAAGGAUGUAGGCAUGUAUCUUAGGCAAAUCCGGGGUACUCUAUGCUGAGAUCUGAUAGCAAGCUGUACUUGUACAGCGAAGUGGUUGAUGCCAUGCUUCCAGGAAAAGUCUCUAAGCUUCAGUUACACAGGAAUCGUACCCGAAACCGACACAGGUGGUCAGGUCGAGUAGACCAAGGCGCUUGAGAGAACUCUGCUGAAGGAACUAGGCAAAAUGGUACCGUAACUUCGGGAGAAGGUACGCUGUUGUUGGUGAUGGAACUCGCUUCCUGAGCUGACGACAGCCGCAGAAACCAGGCCGCUGCAACUGUUUAUUAAAAACAUAGCACUCUGCAAACACGAAAGUGGACGUAUAGGGUGUGAUGCCUGCCCGGUGCUGGAAGGUUAAUUGAUGGGGUUAGCGUAAGCGAAGCUCUUGAUCGAAGCCCCAGUAAACGGCGGCCGUAACUAUAACGGUCCUAAGGUAGCGAAAUUCCUUGUCGGGUAAGUUCCGACCUGCACGAAUGGCAUAAUGAUGGCGGCGCUGUCUCCAGCAGAGGCUCAGUGAAAUCGAAAUCGCUGUGAAGAUGCAGUGUACCCGCGGCUAGACGGAAAGACCCCGUGAACCUUUACUGCAGCUUGACACUGAACUUUGACCUUACUUGUGUAGGAUAGGUGGGAGGCUUUGAAGCUGGAACGCUAGUUCCAGUGGAGCCGUCCUUGAAAUACCACCCUGGUAAUGUUGAGGUUCUAACUCUGUCCCGUGAUCCGGGACGAGGACCGUGUCUGGUGGGUAGUUUGACUGGGGCGGUCUCCUCCUAAAGAGUAACGGAGGAGUACGAAGGUGCGCUCAGCGUGGUCGGAAAUCACGCGUAGAGUAUAAAGGCAAAAGCGCGCUUAACUGCGAGACCCACAAGUCGAGCAGGUACGAAAGUAGGUCUUAGUGAUCCGGUGGUUCUGUAUGGAAGGGCCAUCGCUCAACGGAUAAAAGGUACUCUGGGGAUAACAGGCUGAUACCGCCCAAGAGUUCAUAUCGACGGCGGUGUUUGGCACCUCGAUGUCGGCUCAUCUCAUCCUGGGGCUGAAGCAGGUCCCAAGGGUAUGGCUGUUCGCCAUUUAAAGAGGUACGCGAGCUGGGUUUAGAA